AUGCUCACUUCAGCAGCACGUCUACUAAAAUUAGCAUGGCCCCUGUGUAAGGUUGACAUACAAAUUCCUGAAACGUUCUUUUCUUUU
rnacentral:snRNA from 1 species